UAGAAACACACAAGAAAGAAAAACCAAUAGACAUAGCAAACCUAUCAAAGAAGGAUGUGCAUGUGAAAGAAUCUGCAAACUUGCCCAAAAAGGUUAUCCAUAUAAAAGAAUCUGAACCACAUAAGAAAGAAAAGCCAAUAGACAUAGCCAAAGUGCCAAAGAAAGAUGUCCA